CUCCGGCUGUGCCACCUGCGAGCGACUGCGCUGUGGGGCAGCGUGCCGUGGGGCAGCGCGCCGGGGGGAGGCGGCCAGCGGCUCCUUCCUUCUGCAGCAUUCCCGGCUCGGGGCUCCGGAGGAACUUUUGGAGUUAGGGGAGGAGGAGAUGAACUCGAGCCAUGCCCAGCCGGGCUCUGCAGGAAAUUGGAGCAGUGAGAAGGGAGAAAAGUCGCCGAGCCUUGGGACUGGAGCACACAGAACCGUAAUCAUAGAAUCAUAGAAUCAUAGAAUCAUAGGAUCACAGCAUGGUUGGGCUGGGAAGAACCUGACAGCCCCCAGGCCCAUCCCUGCCAUGGUCUGGCUGUCCCCCAGCUCAGGCUGCCCAGGACCCUUCCAUGGCCUGGGGCACCUCCAGGGAUGGCACCCACAGCUCUUGGCAGCACUGCCAGCGCCUCACCACCCUCUGAAUUUACUUCUAACAUCUCACCUAGAUCUCCACCUUUUAGUACAAAGCCAUUCCUCCUUUUUCUAUCCGACUAUGCCCUUGUAAAUAUUCCCUUUCCGUAGAGGACAAGGGCUUUCCUUUAGCCCUUUUAGGUACUGGAAGAGCUGCUGUAAGGUCUCUGCAGAGCCUCCCCUGGGCUGAGAAUCACUGAACAGACUCAGAAGCACAGAACCACCCCAUUACCUGCACUCUGCCCCCUCUAUCUGCCCUCACCAGUGCUGCCCUAUGCCCAACUCCCAGGCGGCCUCAGCCUCGUGCUCUGUGUCACUGCGCACAAGCCCACGCAUGGGAUCAGUGGCCCCGAGAUCCAGCCCUGCCUGGUGCUGGAUGAGGGCGGCCAGGACAGGGGCUGGGGCAGCUGCAAGCAUCCUCAGCCAUGAAGGACGGGCACUGGGCGCCGGGGGCUGGAUGGGGUCAUGCUCUGCUUCCUGCCAUCCGACCUUCCUGCAGCUGAGAUGGUGGUGGUGGGAGCACACAGCUGAGGAAACAGCUUCACCUGCAGCCCCGUGGCUCCUCUGAAGCACAAAGCCUCGGACAUCUCUCUUGCUGGGGACAAGGCAGCGGGUGCCUCCGGUCCCAGUGCCAGGUGUCACCGCCCGCCCUGCUGGUGGGACCGGCACAGCUCUCCUCCAUGCACACGCUGUCCUGCAGCCGGGCACAACAACAACAAGGAAUAAUUGGUUAAUGCGAUUUCAAAACAUGAUUUGCAAUUAUAA